GCAUGGUGGUGUAGAGGGUAUGGAGGUGUACAGGGUAUGGAGGUGUACAGGGUAUGGUGAUGUAAAGGGUAUGGUGGUAUACAGGGUAUGUGGUAUACAAGGUGUGGUGGUGUACAGGGCAUGGUGGUGUACAGGGUAUGGUGAUGUACAGGGUAUGGUGGUGUACAGGGGUAUGGAGGUGUACAUGGUAUGGAGGUCUACAGGGUAUUGAGGUGUACAGGGUAUGUUGGUGUACAGUGUAUGGUGGUGUACAGGGUAUGGAGGUGUACAGGGUAUGGUGGUGUACAGGGUAUGGUGAUGUAUAGGGUAUGG
ensembl:lncRNA